rnacentral:rRNA from 1 species
AAUGAAACACUGGCGGCGUGCCUAAUACAUGCAGUCGAGCGAACGGACGAGAAGCUUGCUUCUCUGAUGUUAGCGGAGGACGGGUGAGUAACACGUGGAUAACCUACCUAUAAGACUGGGAUAACUUCGGGAAACCGGAGCUAAUACCGGAUAAUAUUUUGAACCGCAUGGUUCAAAAGUGAAAGACGGUCUUGCUGUCACUUAUAGAUGGAUCCGCGCUGCAUUAGCUAGUUGGUAAGGUAACGGCUUACCAAGGCAACGAUGCAUAGCCGACCUGAGAGGGUGAUCGGCCACACUGGAACUGAGGCACGGUCCAGACUCCUACGGGAGGCAGCAGUAGGGAAUCUUCCGCAAUGGGCGAAAGCCUGACGGAGCAACGCCGCGUGAGUGAUGAAGGUCUUCGGAUCGUAAAACUCUGUUAUUAGGGAAGAACAUAUGUGUAAGUAACUGUGCACAUCUUGACGGUACCUAAUCAGAAAGCCACGGCUAACUACGUGCCAGCAGCCGCGGUAAU